rnacentral:rRNA from 1 species
UACGUAGGGGGCGAGCGUUGUCCGGAGUUACUGGGCGUAAAGCGCACGCAGGCGGUCAGAUCAGUCUGGAGUGACAGUCGUCGGCUUAACCGACGAAGUGUUCUGGAAACUGUCUGACUUGAGGGCUUCAGAGGGACACGGAAUUCCGGGUGGAGUGGUGAAAUGCGUAGAUAUCAGGAGGAACACCAAUUGCGAAGGCAGCUCGCUGGGACGUUACUGACGCAUG